UGCACGCGCCUCUGGAUGUGUCACAUUGAAAAGGCUCCCCCUGCCCCCCAGGCGUAACGGAGAUGAUGGUUCCACGUGGUGCACCUGAGCAGAAACGAAGCACUGCUCGGGCUCUGCGCGGCCACUCUGAAGAAUGAAGAGACGAAAAAGGAUACAGCGGGUACACAGACAUUACAGACGAGCAGCGUCACCGGACACGUUGUCAGUUGUUAAGAUGCCAGGGCGUGUUUUUUGUUGCAGUCAUCUCGCUUAGCUGUGGUUUUGAGGGAACGAUGAGCAGCGAGGCUUGGUGGUGGCUGCUGACAGCACUGUGAGCAACACACGCAAAAGCAACACAAUGAUGAGUGUGAUAGAAAGAAAAAAAAAAACCAGUUUACGCAGCGUUAGAACUAAGAAGCCCAGCACGGCCAUUCACGAAGAGCAGUCAACACGACGAGUGUUGACUCGCAUGCUCCUGUACUCGCUACCUUAUGAAACAUCCAUCCAUCCAUUUUCAACAGCGCUUAUCCUGGUUAGGGUCGCGGAGCGCCGGAGCCUAUCCCAGCUGACUUCGGGCGAAAGGCGGACUACACCCUGAACUGGUCGCCAGUCAGUCGCAGGGCCGUUAUGGAACAGUAUCUACCGAUAGAAGGUGCAAGUAACUCUUUUGCUCCCCGCGGUCAAUCGGCCGCAGUAGACCUCCCAAAGGGAUAGCAAGUAUGCUCUCAUGGCAUGAAUGACAU